rnacentral:siRNA from 1 species
GAAAGAUGGCUAUAUGGUAAACU